UACGUAGGGGGCAAGCGUUGUCCGGAUUUAUUGGGCGUAAAGAGCGUGUAGGCGGCCAUACAGGUCAGCUGUGAAAACUCGAGGCUCAACCUCGAGACGUCGGUUGAAACCGUAUGGCUAGAGUCCGGAAGAGGAGAGUGGAAUUCCCGGUGUAGCGGUGAAAUGCGCAGAUAUCGGGAGGAACACCAAUAGCGAAGGCAGCUCGCUGGGACGUUACUGACACUGAGGCGCGAAAGCGUGGGGAGCGAACAGG
rnacentral:rRNA from 1 species